rnacentral:rRNA from 2 species
UGGCUCAGAACGAACGCUGGCGGCAGGCCUAACACAUGCAAGUCGAGCGCCGUAGCAAUACGGAGCGGCAGACGGGAGAGUAACACGUGGGAACGUGCCCUUCAGUUCGGAACAACCCAGGGAAACUUGGGCUAAUACCGGAUACGUCCGUAAGGAGAAAGAUUUAUCGCUGAAGGAUCGGCCCGCGUCUGAUUAGCUAGUUGGUGGGGUAACGGCCCACCAAGGCGACGAUCAGUAGCUGGUCUGAGAGGAUGAUCAGCCUCACUGGGACUGAGACACGGCCCAGGACCUACGGGAGGCAGCAGUGG